rnacentral:rRNA from 1 species
AGAGUUGAUCAUGGCUCAGGAUGAACGCUGGCGGCGUGCCUAACACAUGCAAGUCGAACGAAGCAUAGCGGAAUGAGAUUCGUCGAAGGAAGUUAUGACUUAGUGGCGGACGGGUGAGUAAUGUAUGAGCAACCUGCCUUUCAGAGGGGGACAACAGUUGGAAACGACUGCUAAUACCGCAUAAUGUAUUUUAAGGGCAUCCUUGGAAUACCAAAGGAGCAAUCCGCUGAAAGAUGGGCUCAUAUCUGAUUAGUUAGUUGGCAGGGUAACGGCCUACCAAGACUGCGAUCAGUAGCCGGACUGAGAGGUUGAACGGCCACAUUGGGACUGAGAUACGGCCCAGACUCCUACGGGAGGCAGCAGGUGGGGAAUAUUGGGCAAUGGGCGAAAGCCUCGACCCAGCAACGCCGCGUGAAGGAAGAAGGUCUUCGGAUUGUAAACUUCUUUUAUGAGGGACGAAGGACGUGACGGUACCUCAUGAAUAAGCCACGGCUAACUACGUGCCAGCCGCCGC